rnacentral:rRNA from 1 species
GCACUCCUACGGGAGGCAGCAGUGGGGAAUAUUGCACAAUGGGCGCAAGCCUGAUGCAGCCAUGCCGCGUGUAUGAAGAAGGCCUUCGGGUUGUAAAGUACUUUCAGCAGUGAGGAAGGUGGAUAUGUUAAUAGCAUAUUCAUUUGACGUUAGCUGCAGAAGAAGCACCGGCUAACUCCGUGCCAGCAGCCGCGGUAAUACGGAGGGUGCGAGCGUUAAUCGGAAUUACUGGGCGUAAUGCGCAUGCAGGUGGUUUGUUAAGUCAGAUGUGAAAGCCCGGGGCUCAACCUCGGAAUUGCAUUUGAAACUGGCAAACUAGAGUACUGUAGAGGGGGUAGAAUUUCAGGUGUAGCGGUGAAAUGCGUAGAGAUCUGAAGGAAUACCGGUGGCGAAGGCGGCCCCCUGGACAGAUACUGACACUCAGAUGCGAAAGCGUGGGGAGCAAACAGGAUUAGAUACCCUGGUAG